rnacentral:rRNA from 1 species
UACAGAGGUCUCAAGCGUUGUUCGGAUUCAUUGGGCGUAAAGGGUGCGUAGGCGGCGCGGUAAGUCGGAUGUGAAAUCUCGGAGCUUAACUCCGAAACUGCAUUCGAUACUGCCGUGCUUGAGGACUGGAGAGGAGACUGGAAUUUCCGGUGUAGCGGUGAAAUGCGUAGAUAUCGGAAGGAACAUCGGUGGCGAAAGCGGCGCGCUGGACCUCUUCUGACGCUGAGGCGCGAAAGCCAGGGGAGCAAACGGG